AAGGAACUGGUUCUUCAAUAGUUAGUUGUCAUAAACACUACCAGUCCUUUUUCAGUUGGUUCAGCUUACAAGACAUCACAAAGAUCAGUCUCUCAGAGUAGUGGCUGGCCCUGGAAGAUGAUCUGGAAAGUCAAGGUACCCUUCAAGGUUGCAUGUUUCACUUGGCUACUAGCCAAACAGGCCACACUCACCCAGGACAACCUUAUGAAAAGAGGUUGUCAGUUUUGCUCUAGGUGCUCUUUUUGUGAAUGUGAGAUUGAGACAAUAAAUCAUCUCUUUCUACAUUGUAGAGAGACUGUGAAGUUAUGGUAGAUUUUCAUCAAUUUAAGAGGCAUAAGCUGGACUAUGCCAAGGAGCAUCAAAGAGGCUCUAGCUUGCUAGAAUCAUUGUUCAGGAAAGCGAGCGCUUCAUCGCUUUAAGCGGUGAAGCGAAGCGAGGGUUCAGCGCUUCAGUUGGCUGAAGCGAGGCAUGUGAAAAGAAGCGACCGCUUCUGGGCUUGAAGCGCGAUGCGACCAGAAGCGGUGAAGCGAGAAAAGCAAUGCUUUUAUUUUGUCUAGUCCAUGUUAAGGAACUGGUUCUUCAAUAGUUAGUUGUCAUAAACACUACCAGUCCUUUUUCAGUUGGUUCAGCUUACAAGACAUCACAAAGAUCAGUCUCUCAGAGUAGUGGCUGGCCCUGGAAGAUGAUCUGGAAAGUCAAGGUACCCUUCAAGGUUGCAUGUUUCACUUGGCUACUAGCCAAACAGGCCACACUCACCCAGGACAACCUUAUGAAAAGAGGUUGUCAGUUUUGCUCUAGGUGCUCUUUUUGUGAAUGUGAGAUUGAGACAAUAAAUCAUCUCUUUCUACAUUGUAGAGAGACUGUGAAGUUAUGGUAGAUUUUCAUCAAUUUAAGAGGCAUAAGCUGGACUAUGCCAAGGAGCAUCAAAGAGGCUCUAGCUUGCUGGAAUAGAGAUGGGAAUCAGUCGGGACACAGGGAGAGAUGGAAGAUUGUCCCAGCCUGCAUUUGGUGGACUAUAUGGAUGGAAAGGAACCAGAGAUGUUUCGAAAACAAGAGUUGCUCUCUGCAGAAACUGAAGAUGAACUG
rnacentral:lncRNA from 1 species